rnacentral:rRNA from 1 species
AUUGAACGCUGGCGGCAUGCCUUACACAUGCAAGUCGAACGGCAGCACGGGAGCAAUCCUGGUGGCGAGUGGCGAACGGGUGAGUAAUAUAUCGGAACGUGCCCAGUCGUGGGGAUAACGUAGCGAAAGCUACGCUAAUACCGCAUACGAUCUAUGGAUGAAAGCGGGGGAUCGCAAGACCUCGCGCGAUUGGAGCGGCCGAUAUCAGAUUAGGUAGUUGGUGAGGUAAAGGCUCACCAAGCCGACGAUCUGUAGCUGGUCUGAGAGGACGACCAGCCACACUGGAACUGAGACACGGUCCAGACUCCUACGGGAGGCAGCAGUGGGGAAUUUUGGACAAUGGACGCAAGUCUGAUCCAGCCAUUCCGCGUGCAGGAUGAAGGCCCUCGGGUUGUAAACUGCUUUUGUACGGAACGAAAGGUUUCUAUUAAUACUAGGAGCUCAUGACGGUACCGUAAGAAUAAGCACCGGCUAACUACGUGCCAG